rnacentral:ncRNA from 1 species
CAAAGUUAAAAAUCCUAUGAAACUUCAUUAGUUUUUGGGAUUGGUUUUAGACAUUUUUUAGCAGGAAGGAAAAGAUGGCCUCCUUCAAGGAGAGGGAAGGGGGCAUACUACCACUCCAGAAGCUAGAAUGUUCUAACCCUGUGACAAAACCUAUAGGUCGAGAGACAAUCUUAGGUAGAAGUUUCUAUGAGGUGUAGGUCUCGCCAAAGAUAAUAGAGACAUGCAAAAGGUUUCCUUGAGCCAAAUGGAGAUUGACUCUUGAGUGCAAAAGUAAAAGAGAGCUUGAUUGCAAGAUCCACCCAUUGAGUAGGGACGAAAGUCGGUCUUAUUGAUCCAAUAGUGUCAAGUGGAAGGAUCAUUGUUCAAUGGAUAAAAGUUAAUCUAUAGAUAAUAGGUUGAUCUUCCCUAAUAGCUCACAUCAAUGGGAAGGUUUGACACUUUGAUGUUCCACUAUUUGUCACUUGGGACUAUAGUAUGUUCCAAGGAUUUGGUUAUUGGCCCAUUAAAGUGAUAAGUGAAUUGGGUUCAUAACAUCAUAAAAAUAGUUUGGUCCAUAUUU